GCGCGCGCAACACACUACCUCAC
rnacentral:misc_RNA from 1 species